GGAAUCUUGCACAAUGGAGGAAACUCUGAUGCAGCGAUGCCGCGUGAGUGAAGAAGGCCUUUGGGUUGUAAAGCUCUUUUGUAGGGGAAGAUAAUGACUGUACCCUAAGAAUAAGGUCCGGCUAACUUCGUGCCAGCAGCCGCGGUAAUACGAAGGGACCUAGCGUAGUUCGGAAUUACUGGGCGUAAAGCGCGCGUAGGCCGUUGAGUUAGUUAAUUGUGAAAUCCCAAAGCUUAACUUUGGAACCGCAAUUAAAACUGCUCGACUAGAGUUUGAUAGAGGAAAGCGGAAUACAUAGUGUAGAGGUGAAAUUCGUAGAUAUUAUGUAGAACACCAGUUGCGAAGGCGGCUUUCUGGAUCAACACUGACGCUGAGGCGCGAAAGCAUGGGUAGCAAAGAGGAUUAGAUACCCUCGUAGUCCAUACCAUAAACGAUGAUUGCUAGAUGUUGGAAAUUUAUUUUCAGUAUCGCAGCUAACGCAUUAAGCAAUCCGCCUGGGGAGUACGACCGCAAGGUUAAAACUCAAAUGAAUUGACGG
rnacentral:rRNA from 1 species